GUGCUCACUUCCACAGCACUUACGCUAAAAUCGGAACGAUACAGAGGCGACUGGCACGGUCCCGACGUAAAGAUAACACACAAAUUCAUGAAGCGUUCCUUGCUUUU